rnacentral:rRNA from 1 species
GACGAACGCUGGCGGCGUGCUUAACACAUGCAAGUCGAACGGAAAGGCCCUGCUUUUGUGGGGUGCUCGAGUGGCGAACGGGUGAGUAUCACGUGAGUAACCUGCCCUUGUCUUUGGGAUAACUUCAGGAAACUGGGGCUAAUACCGGAUAGGAGCUCCUGCUGCAUGGUGGGGGUUGGAAAGUUUCGGCGGUUGGGGAUGGACUCGCGGCUUAUCAGCUUGGUGGGGGGGUAGUGGCUUACCAAGGGUUUGACGGGUAGCCGGCCUGAGAGGGGGACCGGGGACCAUGGGACUGAGGUACGGCCCAGAAGCCAACGGGAGGCAACAGGGGGGAAUCUUGCAGAAUGGGGGGGAGUCUGAUGCAGCAACGCCGGGGGCGGGAAGACGGGCUUUGGGGUGUAAACCGCUUUGGCCUUUGACGAAGCCGGAGUGACGGUAAUGGGUAAAGAAGCACCGGCUAACUACGUG